UUCUGUUUUUCGAUCCUUCAGUAAAAAAAUCCAUUCUCUUCAUAAAAAAGAGAAGGUAACCAAUAAAAAUUUAUUGGAUUAUUAGCAUGUAUUAUAGUUAAUAAUUGAGCUGAAAGAUAAUUUAGUUUUAUGUUAGGAGAUCUAGUGGGUCAAGAUGACGCAUGAGCAUUUAACCUAGGAGACGUAGAGUUUCUACCUCUUGUAUGUUUAAAAAGAGAGGCUAAAUUAUAGAAAAUCUUUUUAUAAAUAUUCGUUUUUUUGCUUUUCCUCCAUAGCCUUCAAAAAUCUAAAUUUUACCUCCUUAAAAUUUUAAGUUAUUAUAUUUAGUCCCCCCUCCGUUAUGGUUCCAUUACUAUUUCAUCAGUUUCUUAUAAUUUAUACAAAAAAAAUAUCCUUCAAAAUGAUAAAAAUAUAGGCUAAAUUACAGAAAACCUCCCUGUCAAAACCUGAUUUUUUACUUUCCCCUCUUGUCAUUUAAAAACCUACACUUUACCCCCUUGUAAAAUGACAAAUGUUCACUUUAGCCCCCAUCGUUAGUGAUCCAUUAAGGUUCCAUUAUAAAAUAUUUUUUUAUGCCAAAAAUAUAAAAUUAUUUUAUUAAAUCAUAUUCAGAUAAGAUUUAAUUAAUAUG
rnacentral:lncRNA from 1 species